rnacentral:ncRNA from 1 species
UGAUAGAGGUGCGGCCGCCAUAAGUAAAUCCGUACAAUGCGGGAAAAGGUACGGACGGAAAGGGACGGCUGCCGAAGCAAGGAUAAGCUGCCCGCAGCGGAACCUUGCUGGGGCGGCGCAGAAUAUGCGCUGAACUGUCACAGACUUGUGGAGCGCUAUCAUUU